CGCUGGCGGCGUGCUUAUCACAUGCAAGUCGAACGGUGAACCAGAGCUUGCUCUGGGGAUCAGUGGCGAACGGGUGAGUAACACGUGGGCAACCUGCCCCAGACUCUGGGAUAACCUCGGGAAACCGAUGCUAAUACCGGAUACGACCACUUCGGACAUCCGACGGUGGUGGAAAGUUUUUCGGUCUGGGAUGGGCCCGCGGCCUAUCAGCUAGUUGGUGGGGUAAUGGCCUACCAAGGCGACGACGGGUAGCCGGCCUGAGAGGGCGACCGGCCACACUGGAACUGAGUCACGGUCCAGACUCCUACGGGAGGCAGCAGUGGGGAAUAUUGCACAAUGGGCGAAAGCCUGAUGCAGCGACGCCGCGUGAGGGACGACGGCCUUCGGGUUGUAAACCUCUUUCAGCAGGGACGAAGCGAAAGUGACUGUACCUGCAGAAGAAGCACCGGCUAACUACGUG
rnacentral:rRNA from 1 species